AGUGGCAGACGGGUGAGUAAUGUAUAGGAAUCUACCUAGUAGUACGGAAUAAUUGUUGGAAACGGCAACUAAUACCGUAUACGCCCUACGGGGGAAAGAUUUAUCGCUAUUAGAUGAGCCUAUAUUAGAUUAGCUAGUUGGUGAGGUAAAGGCUUACCAAGACAAUGAUCUAUAGCUGAUCUGAGAGGAUGAUCAGUCACACUGGAACUGAGAUACGGUCCAGACUCCUACGGGAGGCAGCAGUGGGGAAUAUUGGACAAUGGGCGAAAGCCUGAUCCAGCCAUGCCGCAUGAGUGAAGAAGGCCUUUGGGUUGUAAAGCUCUUUCGGUGAGGAAGAUAAUGACGGUACUCACAGAAGAAGUCCUGGCUAACUCCGUGCCAGCAGCCGCGGUAAUACGGAGAGGGCUAGCGUUAUUCGGAAUUAUUGGGCGUAAAGAGCGCGUAGGCUGGUUAGUAAGUUAAAAGUGAAAUCCCAAAGCUCAACUUUGGAAUUGCUUUUAAAACUGCUAACCUAGAGAUUGAAAGAGGAUAGAGGAAUUCCUAGUGUAGAGGUGAAAUUCGUAAAUAUUANGAGGAACACCAGUGGCGAANGCGUCUAUCUGGUUCAAAUCUGACGCUGAGGCGCGAAGGCGUGGGGAGCAAAC
rnacentral:rRNA from 1 species